ACUCUAGUCUGACUCUGUGAAGAGACAUGAGAGGUGUAGCAUAAGUGGGAGGCCGUGCGGUUCGGCGGGGUUCGCGCGUCCGUCAGUGAAAUACCACUACUCUCAUCGUUUCUUUACUUACUCGGUGGAGCGGAGAGCGGACCAAUGAGUGUCCACGCUGUCCAAUGAGUGCCUUUACCCUAUCGAGCGGCCCCUGACCCUUGUCCAUUUGGCGGGGCCCCCGGCCAUCAUGCUGCGUUGCGCCAUUGCCGGGGGUGAAAGAGUCUGGCGGCAUGU
rnacentral:rRNA from 1 species